rnacentral:rRNA from 1 species
GACGUAGGGCGCGAGCGUUGUCCGGAUUUAUUGGGCGUAAAGAGCGCGCAGGCGGUCUAUCAAGUCAGAUGUGAAAUAUCCGGGCUUAACCCGGAGGGGUCAUUUGAAACUGGUAGACUAGAGUACAGCAGAGGAUAGCGGAAUUCCCGGUGUAGUGGUGAAAUGCGUAGAUAUCGGGAGGAACAUCUGUGGCGAAGGCGGCCAUCUGGACCAGCACUGACACUGAGGCACGAAAGCGUGGGGAUCAAACAGG